rnacentral:rRNA from 1 species
AAACGCGUAGGUAACCUGCCUUGUGGCGGGGGAUAACUAUUUGGAAACGAAUAGCUAAUACCGCAUAACAAUGGGAUGACACCAUGUCAUUUAUUUGAAAGGGGCAAUUGCUCCACUACAAGAUGGACCUUGCGUUGUAUUAGCUAGUAGGUGAGGGUAACGGGCUCACCUAGGCGACGAUACAUAGCCGACCUGAGAGGGUGAUCGGCCACACUGGGACUGAGACACGGCCCAGACUCCUACGGGAGGCAGCAGUAGGGAAUCUUCGGCAAUGGGGGCAACCCUGACCGAGCAACGCCGCGUGAGUGAAGAAGGUUUUCGGAUCGUAAAAGCUCUGUUGUAAGUCAAGAACGAGUGUGAGAGUGGAAAGUUCACACUGUGACGGUAGCUUACCAGAAAGGGACGGCUAACUACGUGCCAGCAGCCGCGGUAAUACGUAGGUCCCGAGCGUUGUCCGGAUUUAUUGGCCGUAAAGCGAGCGCACGCGGUUUGAUAAGUCUGAAGUUAAAGGCUGUGGCUCAACCCAUAGUUCGCUUUGGAAACUGUCAAACUUGAGUGCAGAAGGGGAGAGUGGAAUUCCAUGUGUAGCGGUGAAAUGCGUAGAUAUAUGGAGGAACACCGGUGGCCGAAAGCGGCUUCUCUGGUCUGUAACUGACGCUGGAGGCUCGAAAGCGUGGGGAGCGAACAGGAUUAGAUACCCUGGGUAGUCCACGCCCGUAAACGAUGGAGUUUUAGGUCGUGGUAUAAGUCCGGGAUUCAUGGCCGCGACUAACGCUUU